AUAAUCUCUCUUCAAAUAUAAUUCAUUUUUGCAGGCAUAUGCAGAUGGAGAUUUUUGAAGAUUGUUCAGUCCCCCCAAUGAGCCCUAUGAGCCAAUACUUCAACACCUCACAAAUGUCUGUUUCAAUUUUGGGUGUUUUCGAACUCCAAACUUCAAUCUCUCCAUCCCAAGCCAUUUCAAUCAUCACUGGUUCUCUCCUUCCCACCAACCAGCGCUAUGGUUUGUUGAAAUAUCCAUAUAAUUUUUUAGUACAACAUGUGGGAGUGAGGGAUCGAAACUCACAACUUCUUGAUUAGAGAUAUAUACCAGUUACCAUCGAGCUGUGAAAGAUACAAACGGGGAGAGAAAAUGGAAGAAAGUUGAAGUGGAUCCAGAAGAGCAUGUUUUCGUGCCAACUUUUCCAUCAAAUUGGUCGCUUGAAUUUGAACUCUUUGAUGCAUAUUUCGACGAGUAUAUGACAGAUUUGGCUCUACAACAGCUACCCCAAAAUAGACCAUUGUGGGAAAUUCAUGUAAUUCAGUAUCCCUCGAGUAAUGUAGCUGGAAUCAUAGUUUUCAAGUUUCACCACUCACUUGGCGAUGGCUAUUCUCUUAUGAGUCUUCUGUUUACUUGCUUUAAAAGGACAGAUGAUCCUUCAUUCCAUUAACAUUUCCUUCGAGGAAAUUCUCUGAGAAAUCAUCAGGCCAUAUUCUAAAUCGCAUGUCUCGAAUUUUGUCUUCGGCUAUGAACAGCGUAACGGAUUUUGGAUGGAGCAUAAUCAAAAGCAGUGUUCUUGAAGAUGACUUGACACCCAUAAGAUCGGGUGGUGAUCAUGGAGUGCAGUUUCGGCCAAUUGCAAUUUGGUCAAUAUCAUUCUCUCUUCAUCAACUCAAACAAAUCAAAUCCAAACUUAAAAGUGUUGUGCCAAUAUAUCAAGCAAAUUGUUGAUGGUAAAGUUGAGUGUUUAUCAAGAUCCAUCAGUUCCAUCUCAAAAUCAAUUGACAAUGGGAGCAGUAGUCCAUGUAUAUUAUAAAUUUUGUUAAGUAUCUUAUCCUUAAUCUACCCUCUCAAGAUCGUUGCUCUUUUGACUUGUCGAUCUUGGUCGGAUUCCAUUUUUGAACUGGAUGCUUGUUUGAGUGUUUUGGACUAUGAUAUUUCAUGGGAUGGUAAGUGUAAAGAGCCAACUGGUUUAGAAAUAGAACUCAUGAAUAUUAAUAUGGUAUCAAACACCAAAAAAGUCAAACGAGUCCAAAAAUGGGAUCCGACACAAAAUUGGUGAACCCAAAAUAAGCACUAUUUUGAAGGACAUGUUAAGGAUACCAUAUGAUAAUUAUCAUCUGAUAAAGACCUAACCAGAGUUUAUAAAAAUAAAAAUCAUAACAAACAUUUAAAUUAACCAAUAAAUA